CAGCCUUUCCUUCAAAGGCUUUGGUAUCGACAGCUCCUGCUCCAUCAUCCUCCGCUGAGGCUGCUUCAUCCAAACCGGUUGAUGAGGGGGCUAUGUUUAAAGAGACGUCUUCAGUCCCAGAGUCCUCAUCACAACCCAUGGAUGAACCACCUUCUUCCCAGAGCUUCAACCCCCCAAACAUCGAAGCAGAAGGUAAUUCAGUCUUUUGAUGUCUUACCUUUGCUUGUGCUGUUGGUUUCUGAUUUGUUGCUCUUGAGUUUUGCAGAUACUCCUAUGAGUCCACCCGUUGUGGCAACAUCUUCUCGCUCAGACAAGGGGAAGUCCUCACGAAUGGAGGAGUCGUUGGUGGCAGACUUGGCUGAAAACAUGUCAUCUUCCACGAUUGUUGAUGAGGUAAUCUUUGCUUCACUUUUAUUUCUAUCUUGUUCGUUGUAGUGAAAAUCUUUAAUAUUGACAAUUCUCUUUACAGGAUGUUGACAAGAUUGUACGUUCUAUCCAAGACUUGUUCGCUUUCUGGGGGCAAGUCCAAACGUCUCGUCCUGCUCCAUCUGAUCGUCCUGCUGCUUCUUCAGAGGAAGAUUUGAAGUUCCUCAAGGAGUCGAUAUUUGAGUACGUGUCCUUCAUGGAUAUGAACAUUGGAAGGGUUAGUGCUGCCAGACACAAGGAUAAACUUGAGCAUCUGAAUGCGAAGUUGGAGCAAGCACUGACGCUUCCGUCGUUUAAUCUUUCUGCCGAUUUUAAAGCGAGGUUAAAGGUUAUCCACUCCGAGGUCCUUUCUUUGUUGGCCAAGAAUGCUGAACUAAAGGCCAAAAGUACUCAAUAUCUUCGAGCCGUAUCUGAGAAAGAGUCUUUGCGUAUGGAGAUUAACAAGGCUGAGGACGAGUUGAAAGAAAUUUCUUCCGAAAUCAUGGUUAAAGACUCUUUGAUGGUUAAUUUGGCUGCUCAGAUGAAGGAACUUCAAGCUAAAAUGGACGACUGCAAGGCGAGAAUGGCUGCUAAAAAGCGCAACGCCUCCCAGGGAAUUGAGCGAACUAAAUCCUUGGUUGAGCAGUACAAGAAGUUGGAAGUUGAUGAUGAUGUCGUGGCUGAAUUAAACAUCACUUCCUCUCGGCAGAACGAGGAUUGGGAAAAACUUAGGGAACGAAUUCGUUCAGUGUGGGGUGGACUGUAAUUAAGACACAUUAUGCCUUUUCUUUUGUAAUUUAAUUUUCUCUUUGUAACUCUGUUCAUAAUUAAUGAACAUAUAUAUUAACUUCUUGUACAUUUAUUUGACGUUUGUUUUUUAGUCGUCAAUUUUUCAAGCAUUUAACUGCUUUGUGCUAAAAAUCUUGUCCAUUUUCUUUUGAUAUUU
rnacentral:lncRNA from 1 species